ACAUCUUUAGCUUAAUUUGGUAAAGCGUUUGCCUUCGAAGCAAUUGUUUAUUGGUUCAAUUCCAAUAAGAUGUU
rfam:Termitomyces sp. J132 unplaced genomic scaffold C241689, whole genome shotgun sequence.